AGUUCGCAUUGUUUCUAUAAAAUAUUUGUCCUUCUCCCUUUGAUUCAUUAUUAUGACUUACUUCUUGUUUGGUUAAAUUUAAUUCUUAAGCAAUUCUCUUCAUAAUGCUGCUAUACCUUCUGCAUCUUUAAAUGACUGAUGUAGUUUUUCUUUUCCCUCAGAGAUGAAGAAUAGUUUGAAUUUGCCAGAAUUUCCUAAAUCAUGCCUCACUGAGUACCACUGUUCAAUAUGAUGUUAGACAUUUCAAAGGGGAGGAAACUAUUACUAUCAAAUAAAUUUGGGGAAGUGGGUUAAAAAAUUGACUAGUUUGUUGAUGUCUUUUUUAUUUGAUUUUAUUGCAGAGUUUCUCAGAGCUCUUAAUAAAAUGUACCUUAUAUUUCUCUAAGAAAUGAAUAUAAUCUAUAUUUAUAAAAUUUGAUUAUCCAUAGACACUCUUUUAUAAGAAACACAUGGAAAAGAUCUCAUGGAAAAAUAAUUGGAAUAGUUUGGAAAAUACUGAGGUAUGGAAUUCUAGACACUUUCUUCAUGGAGGCUCAUGGAGGAUUUCCUAUCAAAAUGUUUAUAAAAGAAGGCUGGCAGUUCAAACAGCCUAUCUUUUAAGGAGAAGAUAUUUAAUUUUUUUAAUCGGGAGGACACUGUUAACAACAAGAAGCAUGUACACAUCAGCUGUUGGAAUUUUCCAGCUACACUAGAAACAACCAGGAGACAAUCUGAAUCUGUCCUGGAGCUCUGCUGAGGAAGUGACCCACAGCCAUCUCCAAGCUCUGACAGGAGCCCCUAAUUUCUUCAUACGACUCAUUUUUGUAUUUUCUAAGAAAGAGAUUCUACUACUCAGAGUGUUAACUUUACCUACAUUACUCAAUAUGGUUAGUGGGGCAAAUGCUUCAAUGAUUAUUUCAAACUCUGGCCAAUGGAGAGAGGUUGCUAUUGGCAGCACACAAGGCUGUGGGGGAAAUUUAGGAUUGUUUGCUCCCUCCGAAAGCAUGGUUAGCAGCAUAAAGACCAUAGAAGUCAGAGACUGAGAAUGCAUGUUAUCAUUCAUGAAUACGAAAUUUAGGGGAACAAAAAUUUCUGUUCUUCCUCAUCUUCACAUAUUUUCAUUUGGCUUAUAACUUGACUUAUUAGCUUUGUCUUAGAGCUUGAGUUAGUGCUUAAAGAGGAUAACAGAAGCACCCUUUGCAUUUCAAUAUUAAAAUGCCAUGUGUGUGUUUGUGUGUGUGUGUAUGUUUAAUGUAAAAGAGAGAGAGACAUUUGAAUAGACUUCUAGACUAAAGAGCUAAAUUCCUCGUUCAUCAUUUUGAAGAAGUACUAGUGAAUUUGAGAAUUUAAUCUUGAAGAUAAUUCUAAUGUUAAACUAGAUAUCUUUGCUUUAUAUGUGAUUUUUCUUUCUCCCACUUUCAAGAAAUUAUUUUCCUUAUCAGAUUUGUUGAGGAACAUACUUUACGCAAUAAAUUUAUUCAUGUGAAAUAUACA
rnacentral:lncRNA from 1 species